rnacentral:lncRNA from 1 species
UUUUAAAUUUCUCGAUAAAUAUUUAUAUUCUACAAAAUAUUUACCAUAAUAAAUUGAAAAAUUAAUCUUUACACAAGAAAAAACAAGUAGAGAGGACAUAUAAAUAGAAAAAUAUAUUAUAAAGAAUAUGUAAGUCAAAAUGCUACAAAAAUUCAUCAGAAGAGGGAUGAGGAAAAUGUACAAACUUUAAUAAUAGUUGACGAAUGAAAAGAUAAUACCUACACUUGCAGUUGUAGAGCAAUGAAAAUGAAAACAAAGUUUGUUACGGUUUUAACAGAAGGAUCCAUCUUAUUCAUUAAGACACUUACAGUGACUCGAACUAGCUAUAGUUAAACAUAUUUUUUUUUAAAGAUCAUAAUACGAGUUCCAUUUAGACGAUUUUAUAACUGGAUUCUACAAACUAAUCAAAACAAGCAUAAAAAUAAAUUAUUUUAUUUAUAAACAUAACGGCAAUUGAGAGUCCAAUGUAAACGAUGCAAUUACAUUCAUUUCAAGACCUAACGAUGGAAUGAAAAGAUGUGUUUGAAUUUAAAUCCUACAUGACGCAUUUUAAAAAUAUAUUGAUUGUCCAAAAUAGGUGAAGAGAGGAAGAUUGGUUGUGUUGUCUCAGGGAGCCCACGUUAAGGUAAGGACUCUUGUUGGGAUCUCUUAGUCAAGCUGCAGAUGUAGGAGUCCAGAGGCUCUACAUUCCUAGCUUGAUGUGUGGCUUGACACGCACCUCACCCCCACCUGGAUGAAAACAAACAGGACGUGCACAGAUGCCAGUUACUUAGUUUUGUCUAUGUGAAGCACUCCCUCAGGAUCCUCCGCAAGCCACCUGUCGUUCAUGAGACACCUUGUCUUCUACAGUGAUCUUCUCGUCCUAAAAGAGGCGCAGCCUGCUUGAGCGACAAGAGGAGGCCCAAGGACUUACUGGACUAUUACUUUUUAAAACCAUGAAGAAACCUUGCUUCAGCUAUAGCACGUAGAAAUUGUACAACCGGAUCUAACAUCUGUUGUAGAGGCCCUGUGGAGCAGCCUGAGUUAUUGUGCUGUUCACUGAUGGUGAUAGAAGUUCAUGAUGCAAUUCCUGGUAGCAGAUCUGUUGUGCUCCUUAUUGGUAAGUGUCCUUCCCGAAAGGCCUCCCAAUCAGUGAGCUUCUUGGCUAUAUGAUAAGGCUUCAUCUCAUGAUGUUUUAUUGUGUUUAUAUAUAUAGUUUAUUCCUCUUUUCGGUUCGAACUCAUUAUAAGAAGGUACAAUAUUUAUGUUUGAUAUUUGAUAUUUUAAAAUUGAAUUAAAAGCACUCAUUUUACAGUAAUGAAUGCAAAAAUGUAUUAUAAAUGACUUGAAGUGGGGGGGGGAGACUCAUAUUAAACCUUAAAUUAUAUGUGGAAGAUACAUUUGUGCUAUAAUAUAUAACUUCCGCAAGGCGAAACUUUCCAGAGAAAUAACAUCCGAGAACCAUUCAAGCCCUAUAAUUCUAGAAAAAAAUUACUUUAUUAAGCUAAUAAACACUACAACUAGAAGAAGUUUUGGAGCUAUAAACUUUUUAAUUUUCCUUAAACAGUUUAUCCUACUUCAACGGGCGAUGGAAUCAUUUUUCCAAUCACAUAUUUUUUAAUUGUUCGAAUAUGUACUCAGAUUUAUUGCAAUUCAUUAUUUUAAUGUAACGUAUCAAGUUAAUAGAUGUAUUGUAACUGUAUUCCUCAAAACAGAUUCAAACUACUGAAUUAAAAACCUUGUCACCAUCAGCCGACUGAUAAAAUAUUUUGGAGGGCGAAAAUGUAUUACUACUAUAGAGAGAAGAACCUUAAUACCGAGUGGUACAUUAAAAUCCUCAGCUAUCCUUUUAAAGUUAGCUGGUUGUGACAAUCCUCAUGAUCUGUUCUAAGUGCUCAUGAGUAAGUUUAGUACGAUAUUUGUUUCUUACCACAUUCAUCUCCGAGAAAACAGACUCACAUCCUUAAUAAAUCUACUAUAAUAUAAUAUUAUAGUUGUAUUUUCCCUGAUAAAAAAACAUAGUGUAUUUAUUUCAUAUCGGAGACUGAUACAGACUUUAUAAGUUAAUAUAAAUGUUGUUCAGAAUUCUGAGUUACACACCAUGGGCUAUGUUUUAUUCUGAUCAGACUAGAUUUCUAGGUUCUGGAGGGUAAGUUGGUUUUUUUGAUGAUUCUCAGAUGAUAAUUGAUUUUUAAAAGAACAUGAUCGAUUCCCCGUGUCUCAAAUACAGUUUUAAAAAAUUUAAAAAGUUGUCGAUUAAAAAAUGCACCAAAGAAAUUAAAAUCCAGAAAACGAAUUAUUGUACAAACGGAAUAAGGGAGAACGUAUUUUGUAAGUAUAAUAGGAAAAAAAUAGUUUCAUAUUUUUUAUAUAAUAACUAUAAAGAAAUUUUAGGUGAAAACUUUAAGGAUGGAAUAAUUACCUUACCUGGUUGGAUAUAGGCGGUCUAAUUGCAAUUUUUUCAUGGCAAAAAGUUAGAAACUUUUAUCAUCCGCCAUCUUCAUACUUCUCAAGAGUAUUUGAUUGUUUAGUCUAUUUGAACACUAGAUGUCUUAACAAAUAUAACAACGCAUACUUAUUAAUACUAAAUAAUUUAUCAUGCAGUUGACAUUAAGAUUAUUGCAAUUCGGUAUAGCAUGAUAAAAUUUGACCACUUAAUAACUAAGAUACUUAUAAUUUCCCCCAGAUAUAUUGAAAUAUUCCUCAGAUCAGCCAAAGAGACUCGGAAGUCGAAACAUAUAAAACAUAUCAGGUAGAUGAAUUUGAAAACUGGUCUCGUAGCUGGCAUUUUGACUAUUGUAAUCCAGUAUAGUAUGAUAAAAUUUGGCCACUUAAUAGAUAAAAGGCUAUAGUUUACUUCAGAUAUUUUAAAUAUUCUUCAAAUCAACCAGAGAGGCUCGGAAGUCGAAAAAUAUAAGGAAAGGAGUGACUUAAUAAUAUGACAUUCACUGAAUAUCUAUUUUGAAAAAUAAUUAUAUGGUAGAACUACUUAAUCCAACUGUGAAUUGUUUAUAGUGUCGCCCUCUACGUUUUUAAAACAUACCUAUAAAAAAAAGGGAAUACGAGGAGGAGGAGAGAGUUAGUUUUAUUACGUAUCUUCACUAUGGUGGAAGGUGGAUCAUAUUGCAAAUUAUAAUGGUCAAUGGGAAGGAAGAACUUCAAAUAUAGUCUAUUGACAAGUUUUACUAAAUUUUGGAGUAAUUUAAAUCCCUGGUAUAGCCCAUAUCAGCCUAGUUCUAGUAUUAAAUGAAAUUGUUUACAAUAACAAAUUUGGAAUGAAUAUUUCUAAAAUAUAUAAUAUUAAUACGUAAAUUAUAUAAAAAUAUAAUCAUCAGUGCAUAAUGUUAAA